CGAGAGCUGAAUCGAGUCACAGUCAAGAAACAAAAAGAAAAAAAAUCCCACCGCCGACCCCUCCCCCUUUUCCUCUCCCAAAUCGUCGUUUUCCUUCCCCUCAUCACCUCCAUCACGUUCUACGGAUAUUGUCGUCGACCUUUGAGACCGACCAGGCGCCACCACAUGCACACCACCCGCGGGCGAGCUCGUGGAGGGCAUCACGACUAGGCGCGAAGGUCUCCAACCACCUACGAGCAGAGCAUAGCGACUGGCCGAGGGCUUUUGGUCAGAGAAACCAAGAAGAGAAGUGUCUUCGGAUUUGAACGGAAUUGGCUAGGUACGUUUAGGAUUUCAUUGUUGUGAAUGAUUCUUGGCUAUGAUUUUUGAACUCUGAUUUGAUUGGAAUAUAGAUCGUCUUCAAUGUGUAGUUGUUUCUUGGCCUAAAUUUAGAAGUUGUAUAGAUCUGAUUUAAGGGAUUUGUGAGGUAUGUUUAAAUGUAGUUGUUGCUCCCAUCUUCCCUUAAGAUGUAAAUGAUUACAGAAGUCAGUUUAGUUUCCUUGGUA